UAGGGAAUUUUCCACAAUGGACGAAAGUCUGAUGGAGCAACGCCGCGUGCAGGAGGAAGGCCCUCGGGUCGUAAACUGCUUUUAUAUGUGACGAAUAUGACGGUAGCAUAUGAAUAAGGAUCGGCUAACUCCGUGCCAGCAGCCGCGGUCAUACGGAGGAUCCAAGCGUUAUCCGGAAUUACUGGGCGUAAAGAGUUGCGUAGGUGGCAAAGUAAGCGAAGCAUGAAAUCUUGAGGCUCAACCUUGAGACUAUGCUUUGAACUACUUAGCUUGAGUAUGGGAGAGGUAGAUGGAAUUUCUAGUGUAGGAGUGAAAUCCGUAGAUAUUAGAAGGAACACCGAUGGCGUAAGCAGUCUACUGGCCCAUUACUGACACUAAGGCACGAAAGCGUGGGGAGCGAACGGGAUUAGAUACCCCCGUAGUCC
rnacentral:rRNA from 1 species